rnacentral:rRNA from 1 species
AUUGAACGCUGGCGGCAGGCCUAACACAUGCAAGUCGAGCGGAUGAAGGGAGCUUGCUCCUGGAUUCAGCGGCGGACGGGUGAGUAAUGCCUAGGAAUCUGCCUGGUAGUGGGGGAUAACGUCCGGAAACGGGCGCUAAUACCGCAUACGUCCUGAGGGAGAAAGUGGGGGAUCUUCGGACCUCACGCUAUCAGAUGAGCCUAGGUCGGAUUAGCUAGUUGGUGGGGUAAAGGCCUACCAAGGCGACGAUCCGUAACUGGUCUGAGAGGAUGAUCAGUCACACUGGAACUGAGACACGGUCCAGACUCCUGCGAGAGGCAGCAGUGGGGAAUAUUAGACAAUGGGCGAAAGCCUGGUCCAGCCAUGCCGCGUGUGUGAAGAAGGUCUUCGGAUUGUAAAGCACUUUAAGUUGGGAGGAAGGGCAGUAAGUUAAUACCUUGCUGUUUUGACGUUACCAACAGAAUAAGCACCGGCUAACUUCGUG